CCUACACACAGGGAUGCAACACCGUCAGCUGCAGUGCACACAUCUGGAAGAAGAAACAGAGAUUUUUCUGCCUCAUUAAAUCCAAGGACCCGGGGACAAACUCUCCAGCAAUUGGCACAUGAAAAGGCUUUUCUCCGGAUUGUAGCCCGGGAGGCAGGCCAACGUGACAGCAGGGAAACAAAAGAAAACUUCUGGACCUCCCGUUGAGCGGAGCUUCUCUUACUGAAGCUGGAAAUCAUAACGUCAAGCAAAUGUGGGAGUUACUAUAGAUAUCUAGUCAUCUGAAUUUGACUCCCUUGUCUUAGACGUUUGCAUCAGGCUGCAUGAAGACAGAUGACAGACGGCCUCUUUCUAGGAGUACCACCAUGAAAUGACUUUGUUAUUGUCCUUUGUGUCAGACAAGCGUUAAUUCCCCCACUGUCGGCAUUUGUCUCCCAGCCUCUUUAUCAGCCUGCAGAUAAUACGCCCUCUAGAGACAUACAAGAAAACUGCAGGAACUUUGAUUACACUACUUCUUAUAAUGAGGCCUUUAAGUCAUUAAGCCCUCUGGGUUCAAUUAUGAUGGCAGUGGGAGAAAACAAUAAUGACUUUGUAUCAUUAAGAUGACACUCUCUCUGAAAGUGACUCUGUUUUGAAUGUUUUUUGAUACAAAACAAUGGAAUAAACAAUAAAAAGGCAGCAUGUGUUUGCCAACUGCAG